rnacentral:rRNA from 1 species
GACGUAGGUGGCGAACGUUAUCCGGAAUUAUUGGGCGUAAAGGGUGCGUAGGUGGCCUGAAAAGUUAUCAGUGGCAAAUCGAGGCCCAACCUCGUGGAAACUGGCAAUACUGUCUGGCUUGAGUACAGGAGAGGUUAACGGAACUCUAUGUGGAGCGGUAAAAUGCACAGAUAUAUAGAAGAACAUCAAUAACGGCGAAGGCAGUUGACUAUUCUGUUACUGACACUGAGGCACGAAAGCGUGGGGAGCAAAACGG